GUGUGUGAUGGAGAAUGUUGGUGAUGUGUUGAUGGGAAGUUGGUGGGUGAUGGGAAUGUGUGAAUGUGGUGUGUGAUGGAGAAUGUUGGUGUGUGAUGGUGAAUGUUGGUGUGUGUGAUGGAGAAUGUUGGUGUGUGAUGGAGAAUGUUGGUGUGUGUGAUGGAGAUGUUGGUGUGUGAUGGUGAAUGUUGGUGUGUGUGUAUGGUGAAUGUUGGUGUGUGAUGUUGGUAGUGUGAUGGUGAAUGUUGGUGUGUGAUGGUGAAUGUUGGUGUGUGAUGGAGAAUGUUGGUGUGUGUGAUGGAGAAUGUUGGUGUGUGAUGGUGAAUGUUGGUGUGUGUGAUGGUGAAUGUUGGUGUGUGAUGGAGAAUGUUGGUGUGUGUGUGAUGGAGAAUGUUGUGGUGUGUGUGAUGGAGAAUGUUGGUGUGUGUGAUGGUGAAUGUUGUGGUGUGUGAUGAAUGUUGGUGUGUGAUGGAGAAUGUUGGUGUGUGUGAUGGUGAAUGUUGGUGUGUGUGAUGGUGAAUGUUGGUGUGUGAUGGAGAAUGUUGGUGUGUGAUGGUGAAUGUGGUGUGUGAUGGAGAAUGUUGGUGUGUGUGAUGGAGAAUGUUGGUGUGUGUGAUGGAGAAUGUUGGUGUGUGUGAUGGAGAAUGUUGGUGUGUGUGUGAUGGUGUGAUGGAGAAUGUUGGUGUGUGAUGGAGAAUGUUGGUGUGUGAUGGAGAAUGUUGGUGUGUGAUGAAUGUUGGUGGUGUGUGUGAUGGAGAAUGUUGGUGUGUGAUGGUGAAUGUUGGUGUGUGUGAUGGAGAAUGUUGGUGUGUGAUGGUGAUGUUGGUGUGUGAUGGUGAAUGUUGGUGUGUGAUGGAGAAUGUUGGUGUGUGUGAUGGUGAAUGUGGUGUGUGUGUGUGAUGGAGAAUGUUGGUGUGUGUGAUGGAGAAUGUUGGUGUGUGUGAUGGUGAAUGUUGGUGUGUGAUGGUGAAUGUUGGUGUGUGUGAUGGAGAAUGUUGGUGUGUGUGAUGGUUGAAUGUUGGUGUGUGAUGGUGAAUGUUGGUGUGUGAUGGAGAUAAUGUUGGUGUGUGUGAUGGUGAAUGUUGGUGUGUGAUGGUGAAUGUCGGUGUGUGAUGGAGAAUGUUGGUGUGUGUGAUGGUGAA
ensembl:lncRNA